rnacentral:rRNA from 1 species
UUUAUGGAGAGUUUGAUCCUGGCUCAGGAUGAACGCUGGCGGCGUGCCUAAUACAUGCAAGUCGAGCGAACGGAUAAGGAGCUUGCUCCUUUGAAGUUAGCGGCGGACGGGUGAGUAACACGUGGGUAACCUACCUAUAAGACUGGAAUAACUUCGGGAAACCGGAGCUAAUGCCGGAUAACAUAUAGAACCGCAUGGU